rnacentral:rRNA from 1 species
CCUACGGGGGGCAGCAGUGGGGAAUAUUCGGCAAUGGACGCAAGUCUGACCCAGCAACGCCGCGUGAAGGAAGAAGGCUUUCGGGUUGUAAACUUCUGUUAUGGGGGAAGAGCAGAAGACGGUACCCCUUGAAUAAGCCACGGCUAACUACGUGCCAGCAGCCGCGGUAAUACGUAGGUGGCAAGCGUUGUCCUGAUUUACUGGGUGGGAAGGGCGUGCAGCCGGAGUGACAAGUCAGAUGUGAAAUCCACGGGCUCAAACCGUGAACUGCAUUUGAAACUAUUUCCCUUGAGUGUGGUAGAGGUAAUCGGAAUUCCAUGUGAAGCGGUGAAAUGCGUAGAUAUAAGGAAGAACACCAGAGGCGAAGGCAGAUUACUGGACGAUAACUGACGGUGAGGGGCGAAAGCGUGGGGAGCAAACAGGAUUAGAUACCCGGGUAGUC